rnacentral:rRNA from 1 species
GAUGAACGCUCGCGAUAGGCUUAACACAUGCAAGUCGAGGGGCAGCAUGGUCUUAGCUUGCUAAGGCUGAUGGCGACCGGCGCACGGGUGCGUAACGCGUAUGCAACUUGCCUCACAGAGGGGGAUAACCCGUCGAAAGACGGACUAAUACCGCGUACACUCUAUGUUGGGCAUCCAAUGUAGAGGAAAUGAAAUUCGCUGUGAGAUAGGCAUGCGUCCCAUUAGCUAGUUGGUGAGGUAACGGCUCACCAAGGCGACGAUGGGUAGGGGAACUGAGAGGUUGAACCCCCACACUGGUACUGAGACACGGACCAGACGCCUACGGGAGGCAGCAGUGAGGAAUAUUGGUCAAUGGGCGAGAGCCUGAACCAGCCAAGUCGCGUGAAGGAUGACUGUCUUAUGGAUUGUAAACUUCUUUUAUACGGGAAUAACAAGAGUCACGUGUGGCUCCCUGCAUGUACCGUAUGAAUAAGCAUCGGCUAACUCCGUG